rnacentral:rRNA from 1 species
UUCGGGUGCGUUAAUGGGCGUCGAGCGGCGGACGGGUGAGUAAUGCCUAGGAAAUUGCCUUGAUGUGGGGGAUAACCAUUGGAAACGAUGGCUAAUACCGCAUAAUGCCUACGGGCCAAAGAGGGGGACCUUCGGGCCUCUCGCGUCAAGAUAUGCCUAGGUGGGAUUAGCUAGUUGGUGAGGUAAUGGCUCACCAAGGCGACGAUCCCUAGCUGGUCUGAGAGGAUGAUCAGCCACACUGGAACUGAGACACGGUCCAGACUCCUACGGGAGGCAGCAGUGGGGAAUAUUGCACAAUGGGCGAAAGCCUGAUGCAGCCAUGCCGCGUGUAUGAAGAAGGCCUUCGGGUUGUAAAGUACUUUCAGUUGUGAGGAAGGGUGUGUAGUUAAUAGCUGCRYAUCUUGACGUUAGCAACAGAAGAAGCACCGGCUAACUCCGUGCCAGCAGCCGCGGUAAUACGGAGGGUGCGAGCGUUAAUCGGAAUUACUGGGCGUAAAGCGCAUGCAGGUGGUUCAUUAAGUCAGAUGUGAAAGCCCGGGGCUCAACCUCGGAACUGCAUUUGAAACUGGUGAACUAGAGUGCUGUAGAGGGGGGUAGAAUUUCAGGUGUAGCGGUGAAAUGCGUAGAGAUCUGAAGGAAUACA